GGGGGAAGGGGGGGUGACCGUAUGGCCUUCAGUAUGACGCUGAAGACCACACUGUUCCUGCGUGGCACUUCCGCAAACAACUAAAAAGCCACCUUUUCGGAACACACCUCAAUGUUCCCAUGGAAACCAAGUCUUUGCUCUCUUCUCUUCAUCUCACAGGUUUUCACCUGGGAAACAGCCGGUCCCGUUGCGCCCACAGCCCAUAAUAUACUGGGGGGAGGUGCGCGUCACACUCCGUGGUCAGCAGAGAGCCACGGAGUUCUCUUAUACGGAGAAACGGCGAAAUCCCCCCCCCCUGCCCCCCCGUCUCCCGCGGUAACCACAAGUGCACCCUCAGCCAGCCUCUAUCGUUUCUCAGGAGAUGGGCGGGGCACUUGUGCCAAUCCCGGUCAGUUAACCAAUCAACACAGAGCAUGUGACAACGUGCAACGACCACCCGAAACGGCCCAGUCAGCUCGAAGGCAUGGCCCUCAGUUCCCGGUUGAGCAGUUCGAAGCGCCUCUCCAGAUCGUGCUCCUUGUCCCUGGGCAAGUUGCAAAAAGUUCAUCAAUAUGCUAAUGGCUAAAUCAUUAAACACUCAGAGAAAAGCUUUAAUAAACAUUGAUUGAGCCACUCGUCGCCGGCUCCCCCGUCUCCCAUUAAUCUACUGCGAAUAACUGAUACACAAACCCACAAACACACACAGAGAGCCGGGCUGCUGAGCGGAGAACAGCUAAAACCGGGAGACAGACGGGAGGAGGAGGAGGACCGCGCACGCACAUUUCACCCCGACUGCGCUCUCUCAAAUUAAAGGCGCCCUUUUCCCUGGGUAAUGGAACUCGUUGAAUUUGGUUACAAGAUCUUCUAACGGACAGAAGUGGAA